ACACCUGCGCUGCGUAUUUUGUAGGUCAAAUUAGGCCAACAAGUUUGUUGUGAGUGAACUGUUAAAAUCAAUUGACGACAAGCAGGUGGUGUAGAUAUGACUGGCAGGCUGCACGCAUCUGUCAUCAUUAGGAUCCAUCUGCUAGUCAUCGCUGACAUUCGUCAUCGUUGUGGAUCCAUGUCAGUGUAGACAUUUGCCAUCAUAUGGUCCAUCUGUUUGUCAUCGCUGACAUCUCUCAUCGUGAGGACCCCGCAUUGCCGACAUCUGUCAUAUCUGUCUAGGGUGACGGUCCACAAAACACGCGUACGACCUGGAGUGGACUGAUAGCACGCUCAACAUUCCGUCUCGAGAUGCAUUGUGGGUCGACUGCUGGCAUGGUUCUGUUGUGGGUGACCCUAUGCAUCACAUGACAGUGGGCGCGUGAUGUCAGCUGAAUAUCAAAGGAUCUGUGACAAAGUUUCCAGUCGUGCAGAAUGAGGUUUAUCUAUGUAAACACACCUGACGAAGCAUGUAUUUGACUAUGUGAACACACCUUGUAGAGGACAUGUCUGACUAUGUCUUUGACAUGUGGAAACGAGGCUGCCCUUGGCAGGCUGUUGCUUUAUUCUCCAGCGAUUUUUCUUCUUUCUUCUGCAACGUCUUUGCUUUUCCGUAUCCACAGAUUUCUUUUAGUUACAAGUUAUAUUUGUUUCUCUUAAACUUUCAUUUGUUGUUGUUUUUACUGCUUAGUUCUAAUUCCUACUGCUCGUACUGUUUUCUAUUAUCUAAAACUUAGUCUCUCUUUAGAUUCUCCUCUAGUAUGUAUUAUCUAUUAUUGUGUUUCUCUAGCUUCAUAUUUUCAAAAUCUCUCUGAAUUUUUAAUUGUUUUUAAUUUUUAAAUUCUUAAAGCUGUAGCACAAUGUUUUUUUUUUGGAGAUAUGCGUUCUCAACACACGGUGUCGAGAGCCCCCGACUAGAGCGCGUGCGAUGCCAGCGUUCAGAACACUGGUCCAGUGAACGCUGCACAAAGAACCUUUGUUCCAGCUUUGAAGAUGGUGUCAUAUUGGUGGUCAGAUAUGCGCCGAGUUCCCUUUGUGUGCCUUGGGCAGUCUUGAAUGUCUCGGAGUCUGGACAAGUGUGAUUGGCUGUGUGCAUGUACGGACUGUCCUCGGUUCUUUGUUAUCUUCCGGUGCACAGAGGUCAAAAGAGGUCAGGUCAAAGACAGCAAGCAGUUGUCUUUAUUCCCUGAGUGCCUGGCUCACGCACUCAUACAAAUCCAUUGAAUACAUUUCAUUACAUUUUCAAUUAUUUGAGUUUGUGAAUCUUCUACUUUGUUAGGUUUGCUGCAUUAUAUGGAAAGCAAUUACAGAAAUAAAUGACAGAGUGACA